CGUUCCCGGGUCUUGUACACACCGCCCGUCACACCAUGGGAGCGGGUUUUACCAGAAGUAGGUAGCUUAACCGCAAGGAGGGCGCUUACCACGGUAGAAUUCGUGACUGGGGUG
rnacentral:rRNA from 1 species